GCCGCGGUAAUACGGAGGGUGCAAGCGUAAUCGGAAUUACUGGGCGUAAAGCGCACGCAGGCGGUCUGUCAAGUCGGAUGUGAAAUCCCCGGGCUCAACCUGGGAACUGCAUUCGAAACUGGCAGGCUAGAGUCUUGUAGAGGGGGGUAGAAUUCCAGGUGUAGCGGUGAAAUGCGUAGAGAUCUGGAGGAAUACCGGUGGCGAAGGCGGCCCCCUGGACAAAGACUGACGCUCAGGUGCGAAAGCGUGGGGAGCAAACAGGAUUAGAUACCCUGGUAGUCCACGCCGUAAACGAUGUCGACUUGGAGGUUGUGCCCUUGAGGCGUGGCUUCCGGAGCUAACGCGUUAAGUCGACCGCCUGGGGAGUACGGCCGCAAGGUUAAAACUCAAAUGAAUUGACGGGGGCCCGCACAAGCGGUGGAGCAUGUGGUUUAAUUCGAUGCAACGCGAAGAACCUUACCUACUCUUGACAUCCAGAGAACUUAGCAGAGAUGGUUUGGUGCCUUCGGGAACUCUGAGACAGGUGCUGCAUGGCUGUCGUCAGCUCGUGUUGUGAAAUGUUGGGUUAAGUCCCGCAACGAGCGCAACCCUUAUCCUUUGUUGCCAGC
rnacentral:rRNA from 1 species